AUGAGCCUCUUUGAUCUCUUCCGGGGCUUUUUCGGCUUUCCUGGACCUCAGAGCUACAGAGAUCCCUUUUUUGGAGGGAUGACUCGAGAUGAAGAUGAUGAUGAGGAAGAAGAGGAAGAAGGGGGCUCAUGGGGCUGUGGGAACCCAAGGUUCGAUAAUCCUCAGCAUCCCGCCCCUCCCCGCCGCCCCCCCUCCGCCCCCACAACAAGGAAUUUGGCUUUGACUUCAGCUUCAGCCCAGGAGGAGGGAUACGUUUCCACGAUAACUUCGGCUUUGAUGACCUAGUACAAGAUUUCAAUAGCAUCUUCAGCAAUAUGGGGGCCUGGACCUUGCCUUCCCAUCCUCCUGAACUUCCAGGUUCUGAGUCAGAGACACCUGGUGAGAGACUGCGGGAGGGACAGGCACUUCGAGAAUCAAUGCUUAAGUAUCCAGAUAGUCACCAGCCCAGGAUCUUUGAGGGGGUCUUGGAGAGUGAUGCAAGAAGUGAAUCCCCCAAACCAGCACCAGAUUGAGGCUCCCAGAGACCAUUUCAUGGGUUUGAUGACGUAUGGCCUGUGGACCCCCAUCCUAGAACCAGAGAGGACAAUGAUCUUGAUUCCCGGGUUUCCCAGGAGCGUCUUGGCCCGGUUCUACAGCCCCAGCCCAGAUCUACUUCAAGAGCAUCUCUGUGACCAAAAUCACUAAGCCAGAUGGGAUAGUGGAGGAGCGCUGGACUGUGGUGGACAGUGAGGGCCAGACAGAGACCGCAGUAACCCAACACGAAGCAGAUAGCAGUCCUAGGAUGAUCCAAAAUCACCAAGACCUCCAGCUCUGGAUGAUGCCUUCUCCAUCCUGGACUUAUUCCUAGGAUGCUGGUUCCGGUCCC
rnacentral:lncRNA from 10 species